GACGAACGCUGGCGGCGUGCUUAACACAUGCAAGUCGAACGAAGUGGCGAACGGGUGAGUAACGCGUAAUAAACCUGCCCUUCAGAGGGGGACAACAGUUGGAAACGACUGCUAAUACAGCAUACGGAAGGAGGGGAUUGCGUCGGAUUAGCUAGUUGGAGGGGUACCGCCCCACCAAGGCGAUGAGAAGUAGCCGGUCUGAGCGGAGGAUCGGCAACAUUGGGACUGAGACACGGCCCAGACUCCGACGGGAGGCAGCAGUGGGAAUCUUCCGCAAUGGACGAAAGUCUGACGGAGCAACGCCGGGUGAGUGAUGACGGCCUUCGGGUUGUAAAGCUCUGUUAAUCGGGACGCGGUACCGGAAUAGAAAGCCACGGCUAACUACGUGCCAGCCGCCGCGGUAAUUC
rnacentral:rRNA from 1 species